rnacentral:lncRNA from 10 species
AAUCCGCUCGGGUCCCCUUCCACAAGAAGCUUUGUUCUUUUGCUCUUUGGGUCCACACUGCCUUUAUGAGCAGUAACACUCACCGCGAAGGUCUGCAGCUUCACUCCUGAAGCCAGCGAGAUCACUGAGCCCACCGAGAGGAACGAACAACUCCAGACGCGCCACCUUAAGAGCUGUAACACUCACCGCGAAAGUCUGCAGCUUCACUCCUGAGCCAGCGAGACCACGAACCCGCCAGAAAGAAGAAACUCGGAACACAUCUGAACGUCAGAAGGAGCAAACUCCGGACACGUCGCCUUUAAGAACUGUAACACUGACCGCGAGGGUCCGAGGCUUCAUUCUUGAAGUCAGUGAGACCAAGAACCCACCAAUUCCGGACACAACGCCGUUCUCCUGCCUCAGCCUCCCGCGUAGCUGGGACUACAGCCGAGAAGCUGCCAUCGAUCCUCCCAUGGACCCCUGAUCCUGGUUUGGAGGAACUUUUCACAGCUCUCUCUCCCUCCCUCAAACCCUGUGCAAUGAGUUUGCAGAAGAGAGUCUUCCCG